GAGAGAGAGAGAGAGAGAGAAAAAGUUAUUACUUCUCAACUUUACCAAUUUUUGCUGAUUUACAAAAAGUAUAUGUUUUACACAGGACCAACGGUUAUUACAUUAGGGUCAAAAGAAAGAAACGUCGGUCGAAUGAAGGGUUUUCAAAACGAACCUGUCAGGUAUAAACCGAUACGCAGCUGUGGCCGAUCGUAUUAAAUGUAUAAUUAUCGAAUCAUUAAGUUUCCAUUCUGACAAGCGGCGAAAAAAUUAAUUGACAAAUUGCUCUUCGUCAAACUACUUUCUGCUAUUACAAUGUGACAGUUAAAAAAACAAUAUAUCUUGCGUAUCAUUGAAACUACUCAAUAUUGACUAUGUCUUUUAGACAUCCUUUUAUCUCUUGAUAUCAAAUCCUAGUUUCUUGCAAAAUCUAUUAGAUAAAAAAGGUGAAUUUGUGUUUUACUUUACAUUGACUAUUAUUACCGUUUACUAUUUUUUUAACUGUUUGAUAGAAUAUAGUUUCAUUCAAAGUUUUGUUUUUACAACAAAGAAACAUGCUCUUAAAACACUAAAUAAAGUGUGCGUGUUAUCUUUAUGUUAGAUUGUAUUGAUAAUCAUUGUAUGUAUGUACAGUAAGAUAUGUAUACAUAUCUUAUUAUUUCUUUUUGUGUGGUUGAUAAUAUCGUUGAUAUACGUACAAUUAAUUCAAAGAUUAAGAUUUUAUAUUCAAUCUCUUUAAUUAGCGCGCUUUGUAUAUAAUACAUGCUUUUCUUUCAAAUUUUAAGAUUCAGAGAGAUAAACAAAGAGAUAGACAAGAAGAUGGACAAAUUUUCGACAGUUCUCUACGUGUAACUUGCUAACAUAUGAUUCCGUAGCAUAACGUCCAGUACAAUGAAAUCAUAAGACGCGACGCAAUCCUGCAGUCUACAGGAGAACUCGCUGAUCGCCGUUAUUAACGGGCCUGGCAGAAAGAUAUUCUCGAUCUCUUGACGGCAUCUUCUCGCACUGUUGUAUCAAAAUUUUAACAUCUACAACAAAAGCAAUUCUUUUAUACGGUCAGGGGAUAUUAAAAAAAAUAAAUUUAUCUUC